UUAGGGCUUAAGUUUGUGAAAGAUAAAUCUGCCAAACUAAAGCAAGCAAGUGAAACAGAUCAUCGCGUUGAACUCAGUUUCAGGUGGUUGGCU